UGAAUUAGCUUGCGAAAUUGUGAGGUCA
rnacentral:sRNA from 1 species